AAUUGCUUGUACUUGAUGUUUUGUGGAGAUGAAUAUGUGGAUUGAAGUCUCUGUUAGCCUAGGGUUAGUUUCUAUUUGAAGAUUUUAACCUGAAUGAUUUUUUAUUGGUCUUGAAGUGUCACGCAUACCAUUAGAAAGGAUCCACAAUUUGCCAGAUUGUCAUCGGAAAGUCGUUGAAAUUUUUUUAAGAUGAAAAGGCACAAGAAUAUAGAUUGGUUUGUAGAGAAUUGCACAAAACAUAAAAAUUUCAAAAGUUUCAAUUAAAAUCUUACCUUAAUCAGUGAUUUCUAGGAUUGAUUUGUCCUUUCUCUUUCUCUUUUUUUGGAGGGUUUCUUCAAGUUUUCUUAUUUCUUUUUCUGUCAGAGAAAACUAUUGAUAAAAACUGUGAUAAAUUUUUUUCUCUUCUCCUUAAGUUUUUUUUUUUUUAAUAAUACUGAGUCACUGAUUAGUUUAUAAUAACUUAGGCUUGGGUAUUACACAUCCAGACAAUGAUUUAAUGCCUAGGACGGAAUAUGGUAUUUGAAAGUUUAAAUCAUAACCUGUGCCAAUAACCUUCUCUUUCUUGUGUCGAAUAGCUGCCUAGGUACCAUUGGAAAUGCUCUAUGAUCUCCUCAUGUAUAUAUUCCUCUAUUUUUUUCAAUUUUUGUUGAUAAAAAUGAAUAAGGUCCCUAUCUUAAUGAAACAAUAACAAUAGGUAAAUCAAGUCUUAACCAUGAGGACAACUUUAGUAAUAAAAAGAAAUGAUUGAAAUAGUAUGAAAAUGCCCUCAUUGAUCUAUUCACUCACUCAUCUCACUAGCAAAGAUUCCAAAAGUUUCACAUAAAAAGGAGUUGGCUAAUGACUAAUGUGAAGUGAAGAUUUUAACCUUGUGCAUUUGACAAUUGGUAGAUGAUGAAAAGUUAGCUCAAAGUUUCAGCACAAGAUCAUAAAGUCCAGUGUUCAGGUAAUUUUUCUUUGUGAUUCUUAUGAGACGGUUCUUCUUAUUUUUGCUGUCUUUUCACUCUUUCAUGCAAUUGCGAUCCAUGACUGCCAGACGAUCAGACAGAUGUGAUCACAAUGUCAACUCCUUCGGUAUCCAUAUGCCACUCAUUGGCCCAUAAAAAUUAAAAACAUUGCCAUCCACUCCAGGGCUGUGGACGUCCGAGGUAAGUAUAUAUCAAUUAGUGGGGAUACAGCCAUACAAGUUGUGAACUUAUUGUGAAGGUUUAAGAGAUUUCUCUACGUAUUAUUCCACACGAAACGGUUGAACUGAAUGCAUGACUAAUUAAAUAUGGGAUGUCAAAACUUUUCUGAUAACCCCAAUUAUGCCAUGCCAGGUGUCAUCAUAUCUUUAUGGAACGCAUCAUGCUAGCAUUUGUUUGUCUCUUAAAAUGGAAGAGGAGUCUAUUUAUGUAAAUGUGAAGCAAUAUCAUGGCAUUUGGAGGCUAAGACAAAAGCGUGCUAAGGCUGAGCUUUGAAAAGAAAAUCAUUAAAGCUAGAAAGCCAUACCUUCACGAGUCCCGGUAUCUACACACUAUGAGAAGGGCUAGGGGUAAUGCUGGUUGUUUUCUUAAUUCAGUGAUGCCAAAAGUUGAUAUUACCAAUCCCAUAUCAGAAAAGGGCAUGAACUCAGAUGAAAACGUUUCAAUUGAAUCAGCUCACUUAUCUGGGUCUUAGUGUGUAUCUGCCAAUGAAUAUGCAGAUAUUGCUGAAGUUCCAAUUCAAGAUGAAUCCCAAGAAUCAGAAGUUGAAAAUUUAUUGGAAGUUUCAAACCAAGUAGAGAACCAAUAGACAAGUUGUGGAGACCUGAUGUCUGUUUUAAUUCGAAGAUCUCAUGAUUUUAUCUUACAAAAGACUUAGAUGGCAAGGAGAAAGGAUGAGGACGAUCGUGGAAAAGGACAAGAAAAGGAGUUGUUUGUUCGACAGGGAUAAUAGAGAUGAUGAUCCUAAAAGAAGCAAUUCUAGUGGUAUGAAAAGCUGUGGAUUUUUGGUGAUAAACAAAAAACUCGUUCACUAUAUGUAAAAUGACAGUAGUGAACAAACUUUAAUCGUUGGCCAAAAGACAAAAAACAGACUUUAAUAAAUUAUUCCUCAUUUGUGCGGGCUCACUUCUUACUAACAUACAUCUUAAUCCAAAGUGAUGCAAAUUUGCCAUCACAAUACUGUUAGGUAUAUAUCAAAAUUUGUCUGAUGGAUCUCCUUUUGUUCUUUAUCUGUAUAUGUGCCCCCUUCUGUUAUAGAUUUUUUUUUUAUUUACAUUUACCACUUUGAAAAUUUAUUCAUAUGUAGAGGAUUCAAUUUACAAGGAAAAGAAAUCACCCACCUUUGUUGUGAUUGACUUGUCUAUACAUGCUUGUUACAGGCCAAACAAAAAAAAAAAAAAGGACUAAUAUUAACUUGAAAAAACAGAAACUUAGAGGAAUAAUUAUAAUCAGAGUUUGAAGAGAUUUCUUUAAUGUUCUUAGCAUAUGAUAUAUCUUCAUUUAGUCUAGCAUACUUCCAUUUUUCUUUCCAUAUUUCCUUUGAUCAAGCUGAUUGAAAUUAUAUUUAUGGAAUGUUUCUAAGGAUUAAUGUCUGCUUGAUCAAUCUUAUUACUAUGGAAUAUGCUGGUUGAUAGCUUAGGACUCGUGGAAAUUGUUGGGUUCUUUACUUGUUUUUGUCCCAACUCAUCCAGUUGGGCAAGUCUCAUCUAUAAGCUGAUAUAUUUAGGGCAGUUUGUGGAUCUUGUAUUACAAGUUUUUCUACUUUUCUUUUGCCUGCCUAUUGAAAUCUACAUGUACUGAACUAUGCCCUGUAAGAGUUCUGCCUACAAGUAAAUCGGUUAGUAUAACUAUUGACAUAUAUGUCCUUGCCCUCUCGACGGGAUUUUACAUGCAAGAAAUAGAUAAAUUUUAGCAUCUUGUAUGCAAAUGGAUGAUUGUGUUGAGAAAUGGCUGGAAGUUGUAGCCAAUGUAAACAUGCUGAAAUUUUUGACGUGUGCUACACUAACAACCGUUGUACUACAGUAUCAUGUUACUGUACAUGAAAAGUUGGCGGCAAUUGAUUGGUGAUUGAUUUCUUUGGAAGAAAAAGGAUUAACGACUUUAUAUAAGUCUCAAUAAAGCAAUAUAAAUUUAUCCAAAAGAUUGAAAUUAGUCCAAAAGAUCUAUCUAAAACAGUUACUUAGUUCUUUUGUGGAGAAUGGACUCAUUUCUAAUUGAUUGAUCGCAAAGAAACAUAGGACUGAAUCCCAGAUUUAUUGUGACCCAAUGGAAAAAAAAAACAAACUAAAGACAUUUGAAGAAGUUGGUUUCAGACUGAUAUAGAAAGAGAGGUGCAGUAAAAAAAAUCACCUGGAAAUCGUCGUCAGAACUGUUGUGAGUUUUGCUCAGCAUUUUAAGUCGGUGUUUUGAUAGGUUAGAACAAGCUGAUCAUCAAGAGAGUUGACUUGGCAUUGACAAACAUGGUUAGUGGAU